UACGUAGGUGACAAGCGUUGUCCGGAUUUACUGGGCGUAAAGAGCGCGCAGGCGGUCGAUCAAGUCGAGUGUGAAAGCCCCCGGCUCAACUGGGGAGGGUCAUUCGAAACUGGUCGACUCGAAGGCAGGAGAGGGUAGUGGAAUUCCCGGUGUAGAGGUGAAAUUCGUAGAUAUCGGGAGGAACACCAGUGGCGAAGGCGGCGACCUGGGCCAAUACUGACGCUGAGGUGCGAAAGCGUGGGGAGCGAACAGG
rnacentral:rRNA from 1 species